UACGUAGGUGGCAAGCGUUGUCCGGAUUUACUGGGCGUAAAGAGCGCGCAGGCGGUCGUCCAAGUCGCGUGUGAAAGCCCCCGGCUCAACUGGGGAGGGUCAUUCGAUACUGAUCGACUCGAAGGCAGGAGAGGGUAGUGGAAUUCCCGGUGUAGUGGUGAAAUGCGUAGAUAUCGGGAGGAACACCAGUGGCGAAGGCGACUACCUGGCCUGUUCUUGACGCUGAGGCGCGAAAG
rnacentral:rRNA from 1 species